UGCAGUCGAGCGGUAGAGAGAAGCUUGCUCUUCUUGAGAGCGGCGGACGGGUGAGUAAUGCCUAGGAAUCUGCCUGGUAGUGGGGGAUAACGUUCGGAAACGGACGCUAAUACCGCAUACGUCCUACGGGAGAAAGCAGGGGACCUUCGGGCCUUGCGCUAUCAGAUGAGCCUAGGUCGGAUUAGCUAGUUGGUGAGGUAAGAGCUCACCAAGGCGACGAUCUUUAGCUGGUCUGAGAGGAUGAUCAGCCACACUGGGACUGAGACACGGCCCAGACUCCUACGGGAGGCAGCAGUGGGGAAUAUUGGACAAUGGGCGAAAGCCUGAUCCAGCAAUGCCGCGUGUGUGAAGAAGGCCUUCGGGUUGUAAAGCACUUUCAGAUGUGAGGAAAGGUUACAGAUUAAUACUCUGUAGCUGUGACGUUAACUGCAGAAGAAGGACCGGCUAACUCCGUGCCAGCAGCCGCGGUAAUACGGAGGGUCCGAGCGUUAAUCGGAAUUACUGGGCGUAAAGCGCGCGUAGGUGGUUUCGUCAGUCAGAUGUGAAAGCCCAGGGCUCAACCUUGGAAUUGCACCUGAUACUGCGGGACUAGAGUACGAUAGAGGGGAGUG
rnacentral:rRNA from 1 species